GACCUUGUCGCGAACCACGCAAACCGUCGAGUCGAGUCAGUUCGAAUUUCAACUCGGAUCAGUGGCCGAAUCGAUUCGAAUGAUUCGAAUCGAAAAAAAGUGGACUCGUCACAUCGCUACUUCCCACUGCAGUUUUUCAAUUAAAAUACACGUCAAGAUCGCGUAGUCUUUUUCCAAAAACCAACUAUAUGCCAUGGAGUGAGGCGUUCUUUCGGUGUGUAAUUCGAAUUAAAACACAAAAUUAUGACUAACAUACUUUAAUAUUAAUAAACGCGAGCCGCUUUAACGGUAGACCUAAAUGAAAUUAUGCUCAAUCGAAAGAGCUUGAAAAAAUAUCACUUUUGAAUCGAGAACAUGUAUCCGCAAAAUUCGUAUUGUCGAGUAUUUUGCAUUUAAAAGUGAAAAAAUUUCGACAAAGAAUGAAAAUGUUCAAUUUGUUGGUUGACAUUUGACAGCUCUAUGGUUUCGUUCAGAAAUUGUAAAUAUUUUUACGUCCGUCAUGCAUGUUGGACAGAUUGCUGGUGAGAGUGUGGGUAAGCCUAUUUAAAAAAAACGACUACUGUCAGUGUAAGAUGACAGUACACGCUCGACGCAGCUAGCCAACUUUAUUGUCACGCGUGCAAUAGAGUAUUAAAGGCCAAGUUCGGCCUGGCCACUGAGCAUAUAAUCACUACGUUUUGGGCCAGCCAGGGUUCACGCUAGACAACGUCAACGAUUUAUUUGGGGUCGCCGUCAUCGAAAACGAUGAGGAGGAGGAGGACUAUACUUACUAACGAUGACACGGCACCGCCGCGUAAAACAAACCUAUGCCGAAAAUCAUAGUUUCAAGUAUUUUGAAUGCUGUAGCCAGAAGACUGCCAGACAAAUGUGGAUUAAUAAGGUUGUGGAGAUAAAAAAAAAUACAUCCACACUACAGCAUCCGAAAUCUCAAAAUCAUUUGCUUCUAUAUCGAAGAGCUCUGGAUUUUUUUGAUGACUUUCCGGUCACUUAUCUUGACAUAAAUGCUGAAGGAAUUAAUUAUGUCACUUUAAAAGGAGACGAAGAGCAGGACGGUAUUAUAAAACAAAGUUAAACAUCACGGCCCGAAGACCACCCAAAUGAUGAAAAUGUAUUAACUAGGUUCAGUUCUUUUCAAAUUUGUAUUAAGGGGAGAAAAUCCAAAAUUAAAAUUCAGAUAAAAACUUUAAUGUUUUAAGAAAUUGUAAGUCAUUUCAAGUUUUAGACAUUUUGAAACAAAAAAAUGUUUUGAGAAGAAUGUGUUUGACAGAUGGUAAAGCUGCGGUUUCUUCUGGGAUGUGGGGAUGCAUAGCGAGGAAUGUGUUUGUAAGAACCAAUACAAAUUGUCCUCCAGGACUGCGCUGAGUGAGGAUAGGUAAUUGAAGUAAUUCUAAUAUUCACUCUAAAGAAACAAAUCUACCUCUCUACGCAUCCUUGCACAUCUCUGAUGGAAUCAUGGUCCUUGCUAAUCUUUGGUAGAAUACCUCAUAGCCUUACUAUACUUGGUUUUGUGAAAGGCUAACUUUAUAUGAUAUACUUAGUUUAAUUAUUUAAUUAUUAUUUAUAUGUAUUUAAUUGCAAAAGACUGAUUGUUGUAGUAAAUUGUACUAUUUUUAUAUAAGAUAUAUUUUUUGUAAAUUCAAGUAAAAAUAAAUAAAAAUAACGUCAGCAUGUCUUUUUAUAAAUCGUCAGGUGAAUUGAGAUGAAAUUGUACUCACAACUUCCAUACUGACAUUUUAGUGCCAUGAUGGGUGCAUGAAAUUUGGGUUCCCUCCUUUGAGAUG